AAGUCGUAACAAGGUUUUGCUAAGCAACAGUCCUUCUGUAGCAGAGCUUAACGGAGACCUUGCACCCCGAGAGGGGGGGAGGCGACUAUAAACAAGCUUCCAGCGCAAGUCAGCACCGCUGGCAACACAAUCGAAUUGCGGGGACGCUUUAAAAGCCCACCGGUACCAACAGCCAUUCUAGAGGCUGGGCGAGCAUAGCUCGAGGUUACAACCCCCGUGGGAUGGUACAAUAAGCAAUCCGCAGCGGCCGAGCCGUCCACAGACUAAGUGGUUGUGGGUAGGAGAACCCUAUCUAAGAUAUAGUCGGGCCCUGAGGAGAGAUCCCCGGGGCUUCUGCGUCCGUAGGUGAACCUGCGGAAGGAUCAUUAAUAAGGAUACCGGGAAACCGGUAGACCCACCCGUGUCUAUCUACUCUUGUUGCUUUGGCAGGCCGUGGCCUCCACCGUGGGCUCUGCUUGCGUGUGCCUGCCAGAGGACCAACUCUGAAUUUUAGUGAUGUCUGAGUACUAUAUAAUAGUUAAAA
rnacentral:misc_RNA from 1 species